CCUGGGAACUGCGUUNUGAACUGGGUGACUAGAGUGUGUCAGAGGGAGGUAGAAUUNCACGUGUAGCAGUGAAAUGCGUAGAGAUGUGGAGGAAUACCGAUGGCGAAGGCAGCCUCCUGGGAUAACACUGACGUUCAUGCUCGAAAGCGUGGGUAGCAAACAGGAUUAGAUACCCUGGUAGUCCACGCCCUAAACGAUGUCAAUUAGCUGUUGGGCAACUUGAUUGCUUAGUAGCGUAGCUAACGCGUGAAAUUGACCGCCUGGGGAGUACGGUCGCAAGAUUAAAACUCAAAGGAAUUGACGGGGACCCGCACAAGCGGUGGAUGAUGUGGAUUAAUUCGAUGCAACGCGAAGAACCUUACCUGGUCUUGACAUGUACGGAAUCCUCCAGAGACGGAGGAGUGCCUUCGGGAGCCGUAACACAGGUGCUGCAUGGCUGUCGUCAGCUCGUGUCGUGAGAUGUUGGGUUAAGUCCCGCAACGAGCGCAACCCUUGUCAUUAGUUGCCAUCAUUUAGUUGGGCACUCUAAUGAGACUGCCGGUGACAAGCCGGAGGAAGGUGGGGAUGACGUCAAGUCCUCAUGGCCCUUAUGACCAGGGCUUCACACGUCAUACAAUGGUCGGUACAGAGGGUAGCCAAGCCGCGAGGUGGAGCCAAUCUCACAAAACCGAUCGUAGUCCGGAUUGCACUCUGCAACUCGAGUGCAUGAAGUCGGAAUCGCUAGUAAUCGCAGGUCAGCAUACUGCGGUGAAUACGUUCCCGGGUCUUGUACACACCGCCCGUCACACCAUGGGAGUGGGGGAUACCAGAAGUAGGUAGG
rnacentral:rRNA from 1 species